UUACAAUUUGGGAGCGUGGUUUGCGCCAUUGUCGUAACCGCAGCCCUUGUCAUCGUUGCUUCUAAAUAUUUUUAAUACUUUAUUUGCAAUUUGCUGGAAUAUUAUUUAUUGUGACUUUCCAUCACUACGUCUGUCCAAAAACGGAUCGCCUUUUCGCGUUUCGUUUCCAUCCUGACGCUCUCACAUGCGAUCUCACUGAGUCGCUUCUCUCUUGAAAUCGCGCUUCUCUGUUGAUCUCUUCUCACCGUUUGGUAUCUCACCGUGCAAUCUCUCACGUUCGCUUUUCGGCAAACUGCGAGUCUCUCAACUGUCGAUAGGUGUUGCCCGCUUGGCAAAGAGUAACUCAUUUUGAUGCCUCUCGCUACCCCUGGCCCUAGUUUUGAAGGAAUCAUGCGACACACUCGCACUCCACUACCCCAUCCCAUGGAAAAACGCUCCCACCAUCGAGGUGUUGACCAAAAUUUCGCUGUGUGCAUGAGACACACACUCGCACUCCUCCAGCCCUCCACAGCUGAACGCUCCCACCGUUGCGAAUUUGCGAGAAUUUUUGCUCUGAGCGUGAGACCCUGAAGCGCCAGAGAUGACACUAUGUGUAAAGACGAUCAUAAUUCGAUAUGGUCAAAAUGCGUCGUUUGUCGUUUCAUUUAUCUGGUAAUGAUGUUUUCACUUCAUCAAAAUUUUAAACAUUAACAACUAGGCUGAUAACAAUAAUUGAAAUAUAAAUCAGAAUAAAUUAAAUUCAUUUGAAGUAAAAUGACUUCCAUUAUACUCUAUUUUGACCAAAUGAUCAACACUUGUACAUAGUGCCAUUUACUUUGUGUUCUUCACUCUCGCGCUGUGUUGUGAUCGUUCGAAACUCAUUGCCAGAACGAAUGCAAAUUUCAUUUGGGAAGGAUUGGUGCUGGAAGAUGCAACGAAAAUAAUUAAAUGUUAAUAGAAAAGUGGUUAAGUAAAUCGUGAAAGAUGUCAACGCAGGCGUAACUGCAGUUUGUUUUGUUACAUGAUCUACGGGUAAGUGCAUGCAUAAGAAGAAGAAUCUUGCAAAUGAUGUUUGUGUUCUAACAAUCGUACUGCUUUUAAUGUUUGUUUAUUCUUCUAUUAUUUUCCAUCACACCUAGCUAUUUCAUUGCCAAAGCUCCUGAUAACAGAUCAAAGCAGAUGGAUCAUGCAUACAGAGUCGCCAUUUAACAUUAAAUAUCUUCUUGAUCGGCAAACGCAUCAAACAGCAAGUGUUUCUCUUCCAACAGCACGCGCCAUCGGUGGAGCAAGCAGCCAACGAUUUGAUCGCCAGUACGCGCCAUCAAGAAUUGAAAUAUUCCCGAAUAGCUCCGUGAAUAAAAAACUGCACACUUACUGUCCGAA